rnacentral:rRNA from 1 species
AUGGACAAGGGCGCACUGAUGACGCCGGACUCCGAUCAGGGCGGCCCCGACGGGGGCUCCUUCUCGAGCCUGCGCUCGUACGGGCGGGCCCUGUCGCAGACGCCGCGGCGGCUGGCACGGCGCGCGUGCGCGGCGACGGCGCCGGAGGAAGAGAUGAGCCGCGUGCGCGCGCGGUCGGGGGCUCCGAUGGCGCGCGCUCUGCGGUGGCCGGACCUCGUGGGGCUUGGUCUCGGCGGCAUGGUGGGCGCCGGGGUGUUCGUCACCACCGGGCGCGCCACGAGGCUCCACGCCGGCCCCGGCGUCGUCGUGUCCUACGCCAUUGCCGGCCUCUGCGCGCUGCUCUCCGCCUUCUGCUACACGGAGUUCGCCGUGGACAUGCCCGUCGCCGGCGGCGCCUUCAGCUACCUCCGCGUCACCUUCGGGGAAUUCGCUGCGUUCCUGACGGGGGCGAACCUCAUCAUGGAGUACGUCUUCUCCAACGCCGCCGUGGCGCGCAGCUUCACGGCCUACAUGGGCACCGCGGUCGGCGUCGACGCGCCCAGCAAGUGGCGGAUCGCCGUGCCGGGCCUCCCCAACGGCUUCAACCAGGUCGACCUCGUCGCCGUCGGGGUCAUCCUCCUCAUCUCCGUCUGCAUCUGCUACAGCACCAAAGAGAGCUCCAAGGUGAACAUGGUCCUCACGGCCGUGCACGUGGCCUUCAUCCUCUUCAUCAUCGUCAUGGGCUUCUGGCGUGGCGACGCGCGCAACCUGACCCACCCCGCCGACCCGGCCCACCCGGGCGGUUUCUUCCCCAACGGCGUCGGCGGCGUCUUCAGCGGCGCGGCCAUGGUGUACCUGAGCUACAUCGGCUACGACGCCGUGUCCACCAUGGCUGAAGAGGUGGAGCGGCCCGCGCGCGACAUCCCCAUCGGUGUCUCGGGGUCCGUCAUCAUCGUCACCGUGCUCUACUGCCUCAUGGCCGCUUCCAUGUCCAUGCUCCUCCCAUACGACGCGAUCGACACAGAGGCGCCCUUCUCGGGGGCCUUCAGGGGGAGCGACGGAUGGGGCUGGGUGUCCAACGUGAUCGGGGCCGGUGCCAGCCUCGGCAUCUUGACGUCGCUCAUGGUGGCCAUGCUGGGGCAGGCCAGGUACCUGUGCGUCAUCGGCCGCUCCGGCGUCAUGCCCGCCUGGCUAGCCAAGGUGCACCCCAAGACCGCCACCCCCGUCAACGCCUCUGCCUUCCUUGGACUCUUGACGGCUGCGCUGGCGCUCUUCACGGAGCUGGACAUCCUCCUCAACCUCGUCUGCAUUGGCACGCUCUUCGUCUUCUACAUGGUGUCCAACGCAGUCGUAUACCGCCGCUACGUCGUCGGCCCAACCGGCAGCAGCACCGAAUCCGGGGACCGGCAGCCCAGCGCAUGGCCGACCCUCGCGUUUCUCCUCGCCUUCUCCCUCAUCGCGCUCUCCUUCACGCUGGUGUGGAAGCUGGCGCCGGAGGGCGGCCGCACCAGGGUCGGGCUCCUGUCGGCGUGCGGCGCGGCGGCGGUGGCCACGGUCGGCGCGUUCCAGGCGCUGGUGCCCCAGGCGCACACGCCCGAGCUUUGGGGCGUGCCGGGCAUGCCGUGGGUGCCCGCAGCGUCCGUGUUCCUCAACGUCUUCCUGCUGGGCUCCCUAGACCGCCCGUCCUACGUCCGGUUCGGCUUCUUCUCCGCGGCCGCCGUGCUCGUCUACGUGCUCUACAGCGUGCACGCCAGCUAUGACGCCGAGGAGAGCGCCACGCUCGACGGCGCCAAGGUGCAGGACGAAGCUUGCAGGGUGUAG